rnacentral:tRNA from 1 species
GCCCUCGUCGUCUAGGGGUUAGGACACAGCCCUUUCAAGGCUGCAACGGGGAUUCGAAUUCCCCCGAGGGCACCA